rnacentral:rRNA from 1 species
GUGUCAGCAGCCGCGGUAAUACGUAGGUGGCAAGCGUUGUCCGGAUUUAUUGGGUUUAAAGGGUGCGUAGGCGGUUCCAUAAGUCAGUGGUGAAAUACGGCAGCUCAACUGUCGAGGUGCCAUUGAUACUGCGGAACUUGAGUACUGAUGAGGUAGGCGGAAUUGACGGUGUAGCGGUGAAAUGCUUAGAUAUCGUCAAGAACACCGAUAGCGAAGGCAGCUUACCAAGCAGUAACUGACGCUGAGGCACGAAAGUGCGGGGAUCAAACAGGAUUAGAUACCCUGGUAGUCC